rnacentral:rRNA from 1 species
UGGGGAAUAUUGGGCAAUGGAGGCAACUCUGACCCAGCAACGCCGCGUGAAUGAAGAAGGCCUUCGGGUUGUAAAGUUCUUUAAUGGGGGACGAAGGAAGUGACGGUACCCCAAGAAUAAGCCACGGCUAACUACGUGCCAGCAGCCGCGGUAAUACGUAGGUGGCAAGCGUUGUCCGGAAUGACUGGGCGUAAAGGGAGCGUAGGCGGCGCGGUAAGUUAGGAGUGAAAUCCCGGGGCUCAACCCCGGAACUGCUUUUAAAACUGCCGUGCUUGAGUGAUGGAGAGGAAAGCGGAAUUCCUAGUGUAGCGGUGGAAUGCGUAGAUAUUAGGAGGAACACCAGAGGCGAAGGCGGCUUUCUGGACAUUAACUGACGCUGAGGCUCGAAAAGCGUGGGGAGCAAACAGGAUUAGAUACC